rnacentral:rRNA from 1 species
GUAGGGGGCAAGCGUUGUCCGGAUUUAUUGGGCGUAAAGAGCGUGUAGGCGGUCAGGUAAGUCUGACGUGAAAUGUCGAGGCUCAACCUCGAAAGGUCGUUGGAAACUGCUUGGCUAGAGUCCGGAAGAGGAGAGUGGAGUUCCUGGUGCAGCGGUGAAAUGCGCAGAUAUCAGGAAGAACACCUAUGGCGAAGGCAGCUCUCUGGGACGGUACUGACGCUGAGACGCGAAAGCGUGGGGGAGCAAACAGGAUUAGAUACCCUGGUAGUCCACGCCGUAAACGAUGGGUGCUAGGUGUGGGCGGUGUCGACUCCGUCCGUGCCGAAGCUAACGCAUUAAGCACCCCCGCCUGGGAGUACGGCCGCAAGGCUA